rnacentral:rRNA from 1 species
AUUGAACGCUGGCGGCAGGCCUAACACAUGCAAGUCGAACGAGUGGCGGACGGGUGAGUAAUGUCUGGGCAACUGCCUGAUGGAGGGGGAUCACUACUGGAAACGGUAGCUAAUACCGCAUACCCUCUGAUUAGCCCAGAUGGGAUUAGCUUGUUGGUGGGGUAACGGCUCACCAAGGCGACGAUCCCUCGCUGGUCUGAGAGGAUGACCAGCAACACUGGAACGGGGACACGGUCAAGACUCCUAGGGGAGGAAGCAGUGGGGAAUAUUGCACAAUGGGCGAAGGCCGGAUGCAGCCAGGCCGGGUGUAGGAAGAAGGCCUUCGGGUUGUAAAGUACUUUAAGCGGGGAGGCGUUACCCGCAGAAGAAGCACCGGCUAACUCCGUGCCAGCCGCCGCGGUAAUAC